GAUAAACGCUGGCGGCGUGCCUAACACAUGCAAGUCGAGCGGAGUUAAGCGGAUGGUAACUGAAGCUUUUCUUAGCGGCGGACGGGUGAGUAACACGUGGGCAACCUGCCCUGUACUGGGGGAUAACACGGAGAAAUUCGUGCUAAUACCGCAUAACAUCAUUGAGCUGCAUGGCUUAGUGAUCAAAGGAGCAAUCCGGUAUAGGAUGGGCCCGCGUCUGAUUAGCUAGUUGGUGAGGUAAUGGCUCACCAAGGCGACGAUCAGUAGCCGACCUGAGAGGGUGAGCGGCCACACUGGAGCUGAGACACGGUCCAGACUCCUACGGGAGGCAGCAGUGGGGAAUAUUGCGCAAUGGGGGAAACCCUGACGCAGCAACGCCGCGUGGAGGAUGAAGGUAUUCGUAUUGUAAACUCCUGUCUUCUGGGACGAAAAAAAUGACGGUACCAGAGGAGGAAGCCACGGCUAACUACGUGCCAGCCGCCGCCGUAAUAC
rnacentral:rRNA from 1 species